UCUACUUUGCUUGGGCUGGGCUAUUACAUUCAGAUGCUCCUCCUGGCAGCAGUCGUGGGGGUGACUUGCUUUCUUGUGACCCAGGUGGCUGUCUCCUUGAACUGAUGAUGCAGCUGACAAUAAUCAUGGGAGGACAGUCCAUCUGGAAUAACAUACAGAGGUGUUACUUCCAUGAGUACUAAGUCAUGUGAUCUUGGGGUGAGAACGGCCCACCCAUCCAAGUAAUUUUCCUGCAUGAACAUCUCUAAAACAGGGGAGACUCUCUGCUUAUUAAAGCUCUCCAGAUAAGAUGAUCCAGCCAACAGUGUAAACAUACCUCCUGUUUAAUAAUUAUGUUUAAAUUCCUUCCUUUUUAUGUUUAAAUUAAAUCCUCAAGUGCUAUA